GAUGAGCGCUAGCGGCAGGCUUAAUACAUGCAAGUCGAGGGGCAGCAGUUUUGUAGCAAUACAGAAGCUGGCGACCGGCAAACGGGUGCGGAACACGUACGCAACCUUCCUUUAACUGGAAGAUAGCCCACCGAAAGGUGGAUUAAUACUCCAUAAUAUAUUGAAGAGGCAUCUUUUUGAUAUUAAAGCUCCGGCGGUUAAAGAUGGGCGUGCGUCUGAUUAGGUAGUUGGCGGGGUAACGGCCCACCAAGCCUUCGAUCAGUAGCUGAUGUGAGAGCAUGAUCAGCCACACGGGCACUGAGACACGGGCCCGACUCCUACGGGAGGCAGCAGUAAGGAAUAUUGGUCAAUGGACGCAAGUCUGAACCAGCCAUGCCGCGUGGAGGAUGAAGGCCCUCUGGGUUGUAAACUUCUUUUCUUUGGGACGAAACCCCUGUUUCUACGGGGACUGACGGUACCAGAGGAAUAAGCACCGGCUAACUCCGUGCCAGCCGCCGCCGUAAUAC
rnacentral:rRNA from 1 species